AAACCAUAGUGCUCUUCACAUACGGGGACUACCUUGGAGGUGCCACCAUUGAGCAGUACAUUGAGAGUGAAGGGGAAGCCUUACAGUGGUUAGUUGAGAAAUGUGGGAACAGAUAUCAUGUUCUCAACAAUGACAAAAGAGGUGCUCAGCCGAUCGAGCUUCUCAAUAAGGUGGAAGAGACUUCAGCAGGACACAGCAGUUGUCAUUAUAAAAUAGAGAAAGACAGAAUACAUGAUGAAGAAGAGAGGAAGAGGGAGGAGGAGAGGAACUUUAGUUGGAUUAAAAAACAGAUAGAUGCAAUAGAAGCACCAACAGAAAUGGCUGAGAUCUCACAAGAGAAUGUGAGAGAAAACAAAGGUUUCUGGGUAAACAUGAAGAAGGUCAGGGGUGUGAAACGGAUGAGAGAGCUCAUUCUGAUGAACAGGCAUAAGAAGACCAAGACAAGAAGGUCAGUCACGGAGAAGAAAUAUUCUCAAAGUCAGGAGCCGAUAAUGGAGGAAGGAGAUGAAACUGGAAGGAUGCAGCUGCUCAAAGGAGAGAUGGAGGACGCUGACUCGGCAGAGAUAACGGAUGAUGAUACAUCAGAGGUGAUCUCAGUGAACAGUUCUGGAUAUGGGACACAAGCUACACAGACAGGAUCUUAUGCAAGUCUGAGGAGAGCAUCGGCAAAAUCUGAUAUCAGUUCUCUGAGGAGUGCAUACAAUAUAUCUAUCGACCAGUUCACUGAGAAUGACUUGGGGUCUGUAGAGGAGCUUUUGGAGUGGCUGCGCAUCGCAGACAAAGAAGAGAGCCAAUAUGAAACCAUAAAUGAAGAGGACGAUCAGCUGGAGAAGGUGGAGGGGAAUGGAUCUAAUGAAGUGCAUGGGCUGGACAUUUCAGGUGGUGAAAUGAUCUAUCAUCACUAUGGACAACGGUGCUGCAAUUCCUGUGCUGACAUCACAGAAUCCUCCCACUGGGUGCUGAUGGAGCCCUCUGUCUCCAUGGAGACCGGAGUCCCAGUAUAUAAACACAGAUCUCCUCCAGGAAGUUUUGAGUGUGCGGUGUCUGGUUUGCGCUGGGUUUGUACUGGUGAAGUCACUCUGCAGUAUCACUUCAGUGACCCAGAUGUAUUCAGAGCAGAGGUUGCCAUGUUGCAGUACACACCGAUUAGUUCCUUGAUGGACAUCAAAGUGCUCUCAGGUGAACUGCUGGAGGCCC
ensembl:lncRNA